UGGGGAAUAUUGCACAAUGGGCGAAAGCCUGAUGCAGCGACGCCGCGUGAGGGAUGACGGCCUUCGGGUUGUAAAGCACUUUUGUCCGGAAAGAAAUCCUUGGCUCUAAUACAGUCGGGGGAUGACGGUACCGGAAGAAUAAGCACCGGCUAACUACGUGCCAGCAGCCGCGGUAAUACGUAGGGUGCAAGCGUUAAUCGGAAUUACUGGGCGUAAAGCGUGCGCAGGCGGUUUGCUAAGACCGAUGUGAAAUCCCCGGGCUCAACCUGGGAACUGCGUUGGUGACUGGCAGGCUAGAGUAUGGCAGAGGGGGGUAGAAUUCCACGUGUAGCAGUGAAAUGCGUAGAGAUGUGGAGGAAUACCGAUGGCGAAGGCAGCCCCCUGGGCCAAUACUGACGCUCAUGCACGAAAGCGUGGGGAGCAAACAGGAUUAGAUACCCCUGGUAGUCCACGCCCUAAACGAUGUCAACUAGUUGUUGGGGGAUUCAUUUCCUUAGUAACGUAGCUAACGCGUGAAGUUGACCGCCUGGGGGGUACGGUCGCAAGAUUAAAACUUAAAUGAAUUGACGGGGGUCAU
rnacentral:rRNA from 1 species